rnacentral:rRNA from 1 species
GUAGUUAGCCGGGGCUUCCUCCUUGGCUACCGUCACUUUCUUCGUCACCAAGGACAGAGGUUUACAACCCGAAAGCCUUCUUCCCUCACGCGGCGUUGCUGGGUCAGGCUUGCGCCCAUUGCCCAAUAUUCCCCACUGCUGCCUCCCGUAGGAGUCUGGACCGUGUCUCAGUUCCAGUGUGGCCGAUCAGCCUCUCAGCUCGGCUACCCAUCGUUGGCUAGGUGGGCCGUUACCCCGCCUACUACCUAAUGGGACGCGAACCCCUCCUUUAGCGGAUUUCUCCUUUGACCUCUGUGUCAUGCGGCACUGUGGUCUUAUGCGGUAUUAGCACCUGUUUCCAAGUGUUAUCCCCCUCUAAAGGGCAGGUUGUUCACGCGUUACUCACCCGUUCGCCGGUCGUCACCCGAAGUGUUACCCCUCGACUUGCAUGUGUUAAGCCUGUAGCUAGCGUUCAUCCUGAGCAGAUCACCUCUACUAGAGACGGCGCGCGAGACGCG